AAUACGGUUAGACGUUAAAUUUCGAAGUCACUCUUGAGCGAUCUGCCUGUCAGGAAGUUGAAAACCGCUACGUUUGCAGAGAGUGGAGGAGGAAUAGGAGGAUGGAAGGAAAAAAAAUACCUCGGUGAACCUUUGAACCUUCUUCUCGAACAGUCACAAGACUAGGUUCGUAUACUUCCUAAUCGGAGUUGAAUAUCACACGUACCGAUGCAGGCGACCCGGUUCACUAACAGUGAUUCGUUUGGAUAAAGAAAAUAAAACGAACGGAAAACGAGGCGAAGGGGAGAGAGCAGCACCUCGGCACUCUUCUACGCUGCUGAAAGAGAGUCGUUAGGAUCAGGAAAGAGAAAAUAAGACAACCAUCAUGUCAUCUGUUCAUUUCAAUCCAGGGUCAGAUUCCAAGGAAGUUAAUGGUAGUGUAGAGAAGCUGGAGGAGGCUAAGGUGGAGAUAGACGAUGGGAAGGAUGAGAGUGCUGAACCUGAUACCAUGUAUCAGUAAGUGUACACACACACACACACACACACACACACACACACAGUGCACAACGAAGAGCAAAUUAUUUCUGUAGUUAGAA